rnacentral:misc_RNA from 1 species
AAAUGCGAUAAUUAAUGUGAAUUUCAGAAUUCAGUGAAUCAUCGAGUCUUUGAACGCACAUUGCGCCCCCUGGUAUUCCGGGGGGCAUGCCUGUCCGAGCGUCAUUGCUGCCCUCAAGCACGGCUUGUGUGUUGGGCUUCCGUCCCUGGCAACGGGGACGGGCCCAAAAGGCAGUGGCGGCACCAUGUCUGGUCCUCGAGCGUAUGGGGCUUUGUCACCCGCUCCCGUAGGUCCAGCUGGCAGCUAGCCUCGCAACCAAUCUUUUUAACCAGGUUGACCUCGGAUCAGGUAGGGAUACCCGCUGAACUUAAGC